UGCUAAGCGAGAAACAGGUCCAGAUGGGUUCUUCAAUUUGAUGAUGUGGCAUUGUUCUAUCCCCUAGAAAAACCGGGAGAGAGAGAGAGGAAAAGGGUGGGCAAACAAACAUGUAAGGAGGAAUCGUGCGUGGUCGUUUUGCUGCGGAACGCAAAGAAUGGCGUAAGGAUCACCCACAUGUACGUAGAUCACCCACAUGUAUUGUUGCUAAGCCAAAAAGAGUUCCAGAUGGGUCUAUUAAUUUGAUGGUGUGGCAUUGUUCUAUCCCUGGUAAAAUCGGG